AACGCGAAGAACCUUACCUACUCUUGACAUCCAGAGAACUUAGCAGAGAUGCUUUGGUGCCUUCGGGAACUCUGAGACAGGUGCUGCAUGGCUGUCGUCAGCUCGUGUUGUGAAAUGUUGGGUUAAGUCCCGCAACGAGCGCAACCCUUAUCCUUUGUUGCCAGCGAUUAGGUCGGGAACUCAAAGGAGACUGCCAGUGAUAAACUGGAGGAAGGUGGGGAUGACGUCAAGUCAUCAUGGCCCUUACGAGUAGGGCUACACACGUGCUACAAUGGCAUAUACAAAGAGAAGCGACCUCGCGAGAGCAAGCGGACCUCAUAAAGUAUGUCGUAGUCCGGAUUGGAGUCUGCAACUCGACUCCAUGAAGUCGGAAUCGCUAGUAAUCGUGGAUCAGAAUGCCACGGUGAAUACGUUCCCGGGUCUUGUACACACCG
rnacentral:rRNA from 2 species